UACGUAGGGUGCGAGCGUUGUCCGGAAUUAUUGGGCGUAAAGAGCUCGUAGGCGGUGUGUCACGUCGGCCGUGAAAACCUGCAGCUUAACUGUGGGCGUGCGGUCGAUACGGGCACCACUGGAGUUCGGCAGGGGAGACUGGAAUUCCUGGUGUAGCGGUGAAAUGCGUAGAGAUCAUGAGGAAGACCAGUGGCGAAGGCGGGUCUCUGGACAGUUCCUGACACUGAGACACGAAGGCCAGGGGAGCAAACGGG
rnacentral:rRNA from 1 species